rnacentral:tRNA from 1 species
GCGGGAUUAGUAUAACGGUAAUACAUCGCCUUCCCAAGGCGAAGAUGCGGGUUCAAUUCCCGUAUCCCGCU